UGCUGCAAUGGUAGCGUGUCUGACUCCAGAUCAGAAAUUUGCGUGUUCGAUUCACGU
rfam:Picea glauca, whole genome shotgun sequence.